GGGGCGCGGUUUAACGCUAGCGAGCGGGUGGGGGGUGGGUGUUCUCUUCUCCCACCAGCGGAAGUGGCCGUUGAAGCCGGCUGUAGGCAUGAAAAGAGCUUGGCGAGGGGGAAAGUCCAGCUGCUUCGGCUCCCUUCACUAGGUUUGGUGAUUGUCCCAGAGCUUCUGGACCCGGGAUCAGAGUGCGAAAAUCGCUCUAGCGGGAGGGAAGCCCAGGUAUCACUAUGGCAACCGCCAGCCCCUCUGGCCGCGUGACGUCACCCCUCUCUCUCUCCGCUUGAAGCGGCCUCUGCGAGAGGGAGCUGGGGAGUCCUCGAAGGGGGCUCCCCUCUCCUCCUUUAGUGUGGGACUAUUCCGCCCCGAUCCCUGGGAGGGCUUUGUUCUUUUGUUCCGGCCUAGGAGGAAGGACGCGAGCCGAGCCCCGCCCUGUUUGUCCACCUUCCAGCUUUUCCGCUCCGCAACAGGGCAGCCAGCUUCACUGUGUGUAAGGGCACAGACUCGUGCCGGACAUCUGGGCUCCAGAGAGAGGACCCCACUGGAGGGACGCUGCUUGGGAAACCCUGGUGUGCAGAUUUCAAGAGGAACGGGAUGAGCACCUGAGAUGGAAGAUCUGUCUUCUCCAGAGUCUGCCCUUCUCCAAGGGGGACAUACUUCACUCCCAUCAGCUAGUUUUCAGGUAAGUUGGGAUUUCCUCAAAUGUCAUUUCAGUCGUUAGAGUGGGAUUGUGUAUUCUUUUGCUGUGGGUUAUGUUUAGCUGAAAACCAAUGUUGGCAGUUCAUUCUGGGCUCCCAUCUGCCAACCACUUUUUUCUUAGCUCUGCCUCUCCAGCUUAACUAAUAUAUUCACCACUUAACUUCUUGCUUACGUCUUGCCAUGUGCCACUGAUGAGAGAGCAGAAGAAGUACAAAACUUGAUACUUUACCUGAAUAGACCAAAUAACUGCUAAAUAUUAAAAAGGUGAAAUGAGUACCAUGGAAAACAGAGACUCAACAAAAAUGUAUGUGGUCUGGAGGGGUUAGGAGAGUUUCUGCAGUUCUUGCUUCUUUCCUCUGUAGCUCUCUUCCCUACAGUACUCUGUGUGAACUCUAGUCACCUUGACUUCCCCAAACUCUCAGCAUUACCUCUUCAGUUCAAGGAGUCUGCUGGGUCGCUUCUGGGUUCCCCUUCCCUGCACCCCUGCCUGGACACUCUCAAGGUAGUAAGCUGGAGCAGUUGUAGGGCUAACUUCAUUUGUUUACUGAUUCUUGGGGAUCACUGUUCUUUGUUAUCUGAGAUUCAGUGCCUUGGAAACUGUUGUUUCAUAUGUUUUGUCUGGAAUUUGUUGGUUAUUUUAAUGCAGGAGGGUAAAUUCAGUCCUUGUUAAUUCCAUCUUGGCCACAGCUUGAUCCUUUUGAGGUUU
rnacentral:lncRNA from 1 species